rnacentral:rRNA from 1 species
UACGUAGGGUGCGAGCGUUGUCCGGAUUUAUUGGGCGUAAAGAGCGCGCAGGCGGUCGUUCAAGUCGAGUGUGAAAGCCCCCGGCUCAACUGGGGAGGGUCAUUCGAUACUGAUCGACUUGAAGGCAGGAGAGGGAAGCGGAAUUCCCGGUGUAGUGGUGAAAUGCGUAGAUAUCGGGAGGAACACCAGUGGCGAAGGCGGCUUCCUGGCCUGUUCUUGACGCUGAGGCGCGAAAGCUAGGGUAGCAAACGGG